GUGGUGGCAUUCGCGUCUGCGAGCUCCGGAGUGACUUUCCCUUCCUGUGAAGGCAAUCCGGCCCUUUCCGGUGGAGGACCCUUCCCCCUGGGUUGAUCUUGAGGAACUUAAGAGACGGUGUUUUGACUCGACUCCUUUCCCCUUUUUCCUCCCGGUACCAAAGCGGUUUUGUUUGCUGUUUAUACUCUACCCCGUGGAAAGGCGGCUAGCUGGCUAAAGGGUUUUAUGCCUGGGGGAGGAUGAGUCGCUAUUUGGUCGUGACUUGUUUCUGUUUAAAAUUAUUAUUAUUUACCAAAUGAAAAUGUUGUACUUACCAGUCCAAAGUGCGGGGCUUAUAUUGUUAGAAGACCACUUAAAAUGCUCCUGGAUUCUGACAAAUAUUGCAUGAGAAAUUUGCAAUCAGCCGUGAAGCAUGUUUCCCCUUCUGAAAGUUUAACACGUGCCGUAUCUACGGCUGGGAUCUAACACAUCCCAUUCCUACAGGGUAAUUUCCUAUUGUGUUUUCAAAUACUACUAAAGUACUUUAACCAAGAGUUUUCAAUAAUCUUUAUGUAUUAUUGCCUAUCUCUAUGCAAGGUAUCAAUAGUUUUCUACAGGUUCGGGACUACACUGUUUAAUAUAUAACCCCAACCCUUGGUACCGCACUGACCUUCAGUAUUUGGUUGCUGAAAUCUUCAAUGAUGAAAGGGGUUGGUAUGAUAAUUGACACAGAUUAGUAAACCGGGUCCUUUUCUUCCCUACUUUCCCGUAACAUCCUGUCCCCACCCCACUCCCUCACCUAAACCUGAUGAGACCAGAAAUGCAUUUUAAGUUGCAUGUAUUAUUUACAUUGAAAUAUUACAAUUUGAAGGUUCAUCUAAAUUUAAGGCUAUAUUCUUGGGAAUUGGGUUUCCUCACUCAGCUCUGCCACUGACCACAGUGGGCCUUGAAUUUCUAAGUUGACAUAAACUUAGCCUAGGUUGAUUAGCUCUCACUUGUAAUUUUUUUUUUUCCUCAGAAAGCAAUAACCACAGGAGGUAAUUGUGAAGUGAUAGGCUUAUCUUUGGUUGUUAUUGCCAUGGAACUUGACAAAACAAAUAUGAAUAAUUGAUACAACAAAAUGAUAUAAAAAGAUACAUGAGACCUAGACAACUCAUUGCAAGUAGUUUAGCAAAAUACCAGACUGAAUAAUUUUAUAGUUGAAGUAUAAUGUACAGGUUGAGUAUUCUUUAUCCAAAGUGCUUGGGACCAGAAAUGUUUUGGAUUUUGGACUUUUUCAGAUUUUGGAAUAUUUGCAUAUACAUAAUGAGAUAUUUCAGCUAUAGGACCCAAGUCUAAAUUUGAAUUUCAUUUGUUCCAUUUAUACCUUAUACACAUAGACUGAAGAUAAUUUUAUAUAAUAUUUUCAAUAACUUUGUGCACGAAACAAAGUCUUGACUGCCUUUUGACUGUGAUCCUCCACUUGAGGUCAGAUGUGGAAUUUUCCAUUUGUGGCAUCAUGUUGACACUCAAAAAUUUUGGAUUUUGGAGCAUUUUGAAUUUUGGAUUUUUAGAUUAGGGAUGUUUGACCUGUAUGUAACAGUUAACACUUAACAAGCCAUUAUCAUGUCCUCAGCACUUUUACGUGCUUACCUCAUUUAAUCUUUACAAUGACCCUAGGAGAUAGGUUCAAUUGUUAUUCUCAUUUUACAAAUGAUAAAAAUGACUAUGAAUUUGGUCCACUCACAGCCUGUGAACCUCAUUCCUCACCUGUAAAAUGUGAAUAAUAAAUAGUAUUUGCCAUGUCUACUUCAAGGAAUUGUUAUAAAAUUCGUGUGAAAAUGUAUUUGUGUACUCUUUCAAAAUUUAUGUGGCAGUUAUUCCAUGAUCACCUCUGUAUCAGUCAGUUCAAUUAUUAAUGAUAACAGGAAAUUGGAAUAAUGAGGGCUUAGCUAGCAAGAAGUAAAGAGAACUCUAAAUACUACAGAUGUAGCAGGUAUAUAAUAGUAGAUAUGAUAGCCACUACCCCUGGAACUGAGAUAAAGCAUUCUCUUCCCUUAGCUGAGAUCCAGACCUUCUUAGAGAGAACACAGCCAGUGGAGAGUCACUCUAUGGCAGGAAAUAUUCUGUAUUGCCUUACAGGCAGAACUUGCUGAAACUCCAACCUCUGGAAAUUACUGGAACCCUGCAUUCUAGAACUUGCUGGAAACCCACCCUCUGGAAUUGGCCUGCUAGAGUGCCUGAGAAGGAUGUUCAUAGGGAAAUGUUUCAGCAGAGGAACUCUACUACAAAAACCACAAGAGGGAGGGUGCCAGGGGAAGUGGCCUGGUGCUAUUGAAACUGCAACACAGAAGCCAGCCACUGGAGAGAGCUGCACAAGCUGCAGGAACACCCUACCCAGUAAGCCGGCCAGAAGGAGGGAGCAAAACCUUUUCUCUCUGCAACAUCUUUCCAGUUUCCUCUACUGGAAAAGCUUCAUUGCCAGCUGACAAAAGGAAAAAUACUUAAAUGGAUCAGAUCCAUUUUCACAGAGCAGUCAAUAAUGGUGAAUUUGGAGAUGAUAAGCAACAAAUUGAUGAACUGGCACAACUUCCCUGCUACUUUCUUGAUUGUAAUGCCUAGAUAGGGAAUAGGAAAGUUAUUGAAAUGUAUGUGUUCCCAUGAAAUGUGUUUAUUUGUUGUUCAAGAUCAAUACUAAUAAAUGGGGACUAAUGUUCUGAAGUA
ensembl:lncRNA novel transcript